UAUGUUUAAGCUCACUUGCUUUGGCAUUCUUAAAGUAGUUUGAAUAAAUUAGACCAGAGUAUUACUUCUGAAAAAGUAUGAAUUUGUUUGGAGAAUUUUGUAGCGCCUGUACUAUUUACUAUUCAAAUACAAGUAAGAUAACUAUGAAUCAGUAGUGAUUUCCAAGAACUUUUAGGCAUCGGUAAUGAUUUCCAAGAACUUUUAGGCACCCUUGCAUG
rnacentral:lncRNA from 1 species